ACUUUCACUGUUUCACAUUCGCGUCUCGCUCCCUCUCUAGCUGCCCUUUCACUUGAAUCCCUUUCUCUCUCUCCAUGGUCUUCCACUAAAAAUACUUCAGCCAUGAGUUUCUUUUCAAGCCAUCACCACUGCUUGUGAAGAAAAGAUUUUGGGAAGAGAGGGACCCAUUCGGCCAAGCAAGGAAUUUGAGGUUUUGAGAUUUUUGAUGAUGGACCUAGUGAUGGAUUUGUUGAUUUCAUGGUGCUCAGUUGAGGUAAAAUUGGUUGGCCUCCCAAGACUCAAGUUGUAAGACAACCGCUGGAUUCACAGGUGCAUGAGACCUAUGAAAUGUAAGACACUCGCUACACAGUGGUGCAUCAGAAACUUCCUAGUAAGGUAGACGAUGUCGUGGCUGAAGCCGAAAGCAGGUACAUUGGACUAUGUCAACUAAAAGACGGUACUUCAGCAACACGUAUAAGAUUGGCACACAAGCAAAUAAACCAAUGACAAAAAAGAUCAAUGGCAAUUCCUGGUGAUUAUGAUUCUUCAAGCAAAAGGAUGCAGAAAAUGCAACCAUCAUGGCAGCAAUUGAGAUGAAAAGAGUAGUGACUCCAAUCAUCAACUUAACCGGUAACGACACAAGGAAGUCCUCAUAUGAAUAACGUGAGGUAAGGAUGCUCAAGAAUGUAAUUAGGGAUGUUGAAGAGCAAAAUACUGCAAUUGCGCUUGAAACCGAAUAGGCCAGGCCUAAUUUAGGACUUUGGUGGUUUAAUUUAUAAUCUGGUUGGUAAGAAAAGGCUAUAGUUCCAAUUAGUGUUGCAACCACCAUAGAUGAUUUAGCCAUAUUCAUCAUCCACUUCUCUCCCUGCUUCCUUAACUUCUUGUGGCUCUUUGCAAAUAAAACAUAUGGUGUUUCCCCGUUUCCAUUUUUCA